UUUAACUGAAGAGUUUGAUCAUGGCUCAGAUUGAACGCUGGCGGCAGGCUUAACACAUGCAAGUCGAGCGGGGGAAGGU
rnacentral:rRNA from 2 species